UCUAAAGGAGACUUUUUGCUCCUCUCACAUGUGUAGGGAUCCUGACAGAGUCAUGCUUGGGUCAUGUGGGGGAGGAAAAGGUGGUGUGCCACAGGGAUGGAUUUUCCUAGCCCUUACCAGCACAGUCCAGGUUUCUGAAUCCAUGCCUAGAGGUGGGGCAGGGAGGGCUUUCCCUGCACCCACACAUAUUAUGAUUAAGGUUGGGGUGGGAAGCUAUUGAGUGCAAACAGAAACUUUCAGUUUUAUUUCCAGCCCAGCCUUCCUCUGGCCUGACUCACUCGGUGAUGCCACAGUCUCAUGUUUGUGACCUAACACAGUGGAUCACCAUGGAACUCACACAGACCCUAGACUGUUGAGGAGCACCAACGGAGAUGAGCUGGACAGUUCCGGAAAAAGAAAUAAACCUGAUUUUGACACACAGAGAGGCCACAUUUCAAAUCUGGACUCCCAAGUCCUCAUGUGGGCACUUCCACCGCUGAUAAAAAUGGACACCUGGAUACCUCAGGGUCUAUUGGAGCACCCAAGUUUGGAUUUAAGGAAAAGAAGACAGACGCUGGCAACGGACAGUGUACCAGUGAGGGCCCAGCAACAGCAGGCUGCCUCUGCAGACAAGACAGGAGAAGUCCAUCAAAUACCCUAUUUUAAGAAGAGGAAGCUGUUCUAGGGAGCAAGAAGUCUGAGAAGUUUCCAUGAGUUCUCAGGCUCAUUCUGAAAUGGGCAUCACCUCUGCUUAUCUAUUUGCCCAAAUCCACCACCAUUAAGAAAAAGCUUGUUCCCUUA